rnacentral:tRNA from 1 species
GGGGAUUAGCUCAAUGGUAGAGCAUAUGCUUCCCAUGCACAAAGCCCUGGGGUCAAUCCCUAGUUUCUCCA